rnacentral:misc_RNA from 1 species
AUUUCUUUCCACUCUUCUUGAGACCAGAGCCUCCUAAGGCCCCCUUCUGUGCUGCCUUAGCUUUCAACUCCUUUAGUGCCUUUUCCUCCUCUUUCUUCUUCUGAAGAUUAGCUAGAUCAUUCUCAUCGUAUUCCUUCUUCUCGACCUUGGCCGCCUUCAGAGGCUUCGCCUUCCCACCUUGCUUGGACGACAUGGCUGCUGGGAUUGACGGUGG